rnacentral:sRNA from 1 species
GCCGGGGCGGGCGCGGGCAGCGGCGGGCCGGCCGGGCUGUGCGGGGCGAGCGGCGGCGGCGGCGGGGGCGCUUCGGCCGGGGCGGCAGCUGGGCGCCGGCGGGAGCUAGCAGCGUCUGCAGCCGCGCCGGCCGCCCGCGCCCCGGCGCGCUCCGGCUCGGCCAUGGAGCUGCCAGCUGUUGGCGAGCACGUCUUCGCGGUGGAGAGCAUCGAGAAGAAGCGGAUCCGCAAGGGCAGAGUGGAGUAUCUGGUGAAAUGGAGAGGCUGGUCGCCCAAAUAUAACACGUGGGAACCGGAGGAGAACAUCCUGGACCCCAGGCUGCUGAUCGCCUUCCAGAACAGGUGAGCGUCCCCCACGCAGCCACCGCCUGCCGCCCGUGACCGUAUAUGGGAAUGGCAAAGUGGGCGACGCAGCAAUACGAAAGGGGCGGGG